rnacentral:tRNA from 1 species
AAAUCCAGGGUUUUUUCUAUACCUUAUCCGAAUUUGCACUUCGGGCUGCUGGAUUUUUUGGCUUCAUUGACUGGGCU